UACGUAGGUGGCAAGCGUUGUCCGGAAUUACUGGGCGUAAAGCGCGUGUAGGCGGUUGCCAUAGUCAGGUGUGAAAGCCUUGAGCUUAACUCAAGAAAUGCACUUGAUACUGGGCGACUAGAGGACCGGAGAGGAUAGUGGAAUUCCCAGUGUAGUGGUGAAAUACGUAGAGAUUGGGAAGAACACCAGUGGCGAAGGCGGCUAUCUGGACGGUUUCUGACGCUAAGACGCGAAAGCGUGGGGAGCAAACAGG
rnacentral:rRNA from 1 species